rnacentral:lncRNA from 10 species
CGGGACACCAUUAGACGCCACUCCAAAAUAGACCCUUUUGGCAUAAGGAUUGUUUUGAGCUGAAGGUAAUAAAGAAGCAGAUGCAGGAAAGCUCUCUGCUCUCCGUCUAUUUGCCUAACAGGGCAUAAAUUUACAAAGGCAAAAGGUAUCCCUCUACUCCUGCCUACUACCAGGUAUAGUUUAUUUGCCUUUGCACAAGUUGCUGCCCCUGAAGACUCAAAGUUAUUUUCCUUUGUCUUGUGAUCUCUUUAAAAAUUUGUAGUUUUUUUACUGAAGAUGUUGUAUAAGCUGAAAUUCAAGGCUACUUUUUUGAGAAGUAUUCAUUCCCUGGGCCUCUCCAUGGGUCUGUUACAACUAAGGACUCAUGAAGGUGGAGGAAAAAAAAUGUUUUUUCUCCCUUAUAGUUCUUCUGCACAAGAUGGACCUCAGAGACAGUUUGUGUUUGACUGUGCUUUCCCCUUCAGAAGUUGAGCUGGGACACUGGCUCAAUUAGUGUUGGUUUCAGAAUUGGAAUGAAGAAUGAAAAGUCUCUUCUCUUCUUAGGAAAUAAUUUUUCCUUUGUGCAGAAAUGUAGAAAUGAGCACAUUCAUACCAAGAUUAAAAGUGCAACCCCAAGGCAAGGGACAAUGGUGAUGAGUGAAUAACGGGAAGAGAUGCAGUAAGGGAAGAGUGCUUUCAAAAAGAAUGGUGCCAAGAACAGUGGAAGAGGGAACUUUUGUACUUUUAUGAAAGUAAUUACCAUUCAUCAAACUCCUCACAGUGGCAGACAAAUGAAUUUAAUAAUGAAUUUAAUAGUUAUAAACUCACUUUUAUGAAUCUAUCAAAUACAUUAUAUCACAUAACCUUUCUACUCUAUCUUAUAAUAAUACAGUGCCUUUUUCUGUGUUUAAAAAGUUUGUAUCUUAGCAAGAUUCAUGAAGAAGCAAUUCUAUAUCUGUUUUAAAAUUUAUGUUGUUCUGUUGAACACUGUUAUAAAAUAAAACUUGUGUUAUACCUGUAAAUUAUUGUAUUAAAGCAGUACAGGAGAGUGAUCAAGGCCAAUAGCUUUGGAGACAGUUCUUGGUCCCAGCUCUAACAUUAACUAGCUGUGUGAUCCUGAGCAAUUGUCUUACACCUCUGCUGCUCAGUUUUCUCACUUAUUAAAUGCAAAUAAUAACGUUACUUUAUAAAUUUAUAGAUUGAGAGUUUUAAAUGUGUGCAAGCAUAUUAAUGAUAUCAAUAAAUUGCCUUUGAUUAUUAUUAUGAAA